UACAGAGGGUGCAAGCGUUAAUCGGAAUUACUGGGCGUAAAGCGUGCGUAGACGGUUACAUAAGUCGGGUGUGAAAGCCCCGGGCUCAACCUGGGAAUUGCAUUCGAGACUGCGUAGCUAGGGUGCGGAAGAGGGAAGCGGAAUUUCCGGUGUAGCGGUGAAAUGCGUAGAUAUCGGAAGGAACACCAGUGGCGAAAGCGGCUUCCUGGACAAUUGCUGACACUCAGGCACGAAAGCGUGGGGAGCAAAAGGG
rnacentral:rRNA from 1 species